AUCCUUUUCUGGUUUAUAAGCAUGACGAUCGGGUUUUCACACACCUGAGUGAUGAUAUGUGCCUCUCUUCAACCUUGUUACGACGUCAACACAUGACCCUUCUGACA